CCUACGGGUGGCAGCAGUGAGGAAUAUUGGUCAAUGGGCGCGAGCCUGAACCAGCCAAGUAGCGUGAAGGAUGACUGCCCUACGGGUUGUAAACUUCUUUUAUAAAGGAAUAAAGUGAGGCACGUGUGCCUUUUUGUAUGUACUUUAUGAAUAGGAACGGCCAACUUCGUGCCAGCAGCCGCGGUAAUACGGGGGAUCCGAGCGUUAUCCGGAUUUUUUGGGGUUAAAGGGAGCGUGUAUGGGUCGUUACGUCAGUUGUGAAAGUUUGCGGCGCAACCGUAAAAUUGCAAUUGAAACUGGCAGCCUUGAGUACAGUUGAGGUAGGCGGAAUUGGUGGUG
rnacentral:rRNA from 1 species